UACGUAGGGGGCUAGCGUUGUCCGGAAUCAUUGGGCGUAAAGCGCGCGUAGGCGGCCAGAUAAGUCCGGUGUGAAAGUCACAGGCUCAACCUGUGAAUGCCGCUGGAAACUGUCUGGCUAGAGUCCGGAAGGGGCGAGUGGAAUUCCCGGUGUAGUGGUGAAAUGCGUAGAGAUCGGGAGGAACACCAGAGGCGAAAGCGGUUAACUGGGUCUAAACUGACGCUGAGGCGCGAAGGCUAGGGGAGCAAACAGG
rnacentral:rRNA from 1 species